rnacentral:rRNA from 1 species
AUUGAACGCUGGCGGCAGGCCUAACACAUGCAAGUCGAGCGGAUGAAGGGAGCUUGCUCCUGGAUUCAGCGGCGGACGGGUGAGUAAUGCCUAGGAAUCUGCCUGGUAGUGGGGGAUAACGUCCUGAAACGGGCGCUAAUACCGCAUACGUCCUGAGGGAGAAAGUGGGGGAUCUUCGGACCUCACGCCAUCAGAUGAGCCUAGGUCGGAUUAGCUAGUUGGUGGGGUAAAGGCCUACCAAGGCGACGAUCCGUAACUGGUCUGAGAGGAUGAUCAGUCACACUGGAACUGAGACACGGUCCAGACUCCUACGGGAGGCAGCAGUGGGGAAUAUUGGACAAUGGGCGAAAGCCUGAUCCAGCCAUACCGCGUGUGUGAAGAAGGUCUUCGGAUUGUAAAGCCCUUUAAGUUGGAAGGAAGGGCAGUAAGUUAAUACCUUGCUGUUUUGACGUUACCAACAGAAUAAGCACCGGCUAACUUCGUG